rnacentral:rRNA from 1 species
GUGAGGAAUAUUGGUCAAUGGGCGGGAGCCUGAACCAGCCAAGUCGCGUGAAGGAAGAAGGAUCUAUGGUUCGUAAACUUCUUUUGCAGGGGAAUAAAGUGCAGGACGUGUCCUGUUUUGUAUGUACCCUGAGAAUAAGGAUCGGCUAACUCCGUGCCAGCAGCCGCGGUAAUACGGAGGAUCCGAGCGUUAUCCGGAUUUAUUGGGUUUAAAGGGUGCGUAGGUGGUUUGAUAAGUCAGCGGUGAAAGUUUGCAGCUUAACUGUAAAAAUGCCGUUGAAACUGUCGGACUUGAGUGUAAAUGAUGUAGGCGGAAUGCGUGGUGUAGCGGUGAAAUGCAUAGAUAUCACGCAGAACUCCGAUUGCGAAGGCAGCUUACUAAGCUACAACUGACACUGAAGCACGAAAGCGUGGGGAUCAAACAGGAUUAGAUACCCUAGUAGUCC